rnacentral:lncRNA from 10 species
AGGGGAAGGGGAGAGGGAGGGAGGAGGAGGGGAAGGAAAGGAAAGGAAAGGAAAAAGGAAAGGAAAAAGAAAAGGAAAGGGGCAGCCUGCCUAGCAUUGCGGAAGAUCCCAUGCGCCUCUCUGGAAGCUGGGAAGUAAUCAUCAUGUGUCAAAGAGCAUGCUGGCCCAGGGCGUGCUUUGUUUGGCCCACUCCAUGUUUUUUUAAUGUUUAAAUGUUAAUCUCUUUAUUAGUUAGCUCUUGCUCAUUUAUGCUGCAGUAACAGACAUCCCCAGGACCUCAGCGUUUCAUAGGAACGACAUGGCACACAUUGGUGGUGGCUGUCCUCCCAGGCAGUACCCCACAUCUUGUCUUCCGUGUUUGGGCACCCAGGCUGGAGUAGCAACCCAUCUCAGUCAAUGGCAAAGGAAGCAGGAAUGGGAGGUUCUAAUACCAUCUCACUCAUCCUUGGACCAAGGACACCUCUCCCAUGCACUAUGCCCCAUGCCUCUCUCUCACUAUGGCCCAGUCCACGCAUGGAGGUCCCAGUUGGUGCUCAGCAUCCCCGGUGGACUAGAGGCUUUGUCCCAGCAGAAGCGUUGCCACCCCCCCGGAAUCUGAGCCCUUCACUGGACCCAGCUCCGUGGCCUGCAGACAGGAAGCCCCCAGUGAACACAUGCUGGCGUGGUGUGAAUUCACCCCCCUGCCUCUCCACUCCUUUGUGCUUCCCAGGAGGGGCAAUGCAACAGGCAUUGCAACAGGCAUCCCCAGCAUCACAGGGCAGAAAUGCUCCACAAAAGUCUCAAACUAAACUGAGAGAGACAUUAUUCACUUCCAAGUGCUUCAAACAGCAAAAGAGUAAGGCGGAGGACAAGAAAAGUAUUGACGACUGGUAAAUAUUUAAGGAGUAACCGAGUCAAUGCCAAGCAUGCUGAGCUCUGAGCCAAACCACAUUCAGGAAGAGAUCAACGUAGAGCACAAAAGACUUAGGUUUUCACAUUUGCUUGAAAAUGUAAGCAGUUACUAAGUAAAAAUUAAAAGAUGAUUGGCUAGGUGUGGUGGCUCAUUCCAGCACUUUGAGAGGCCGAAGCGGGAGGAUCACUUGAGGCCAGGAAGUUGAGACAGCCUGGGCAAUAUAGCAAAACCCUGUCUCUACAAAACAUUUUUAAAAAUUAGCCAGGCACGGUAGUGUGCACCUGUAAUCCCAGCUACUGGGGAGGAUGGCCUGAGCCUGGGAGAUGAAGGCUGCAGUGAGCUGCGUUUGCA